rnacentral:rRNA from 1 species
GUUUUAGCCGCCGCGGUAACACGUAGGGGGCGAGCGUUGUCCGGAAUCAUUGGGCGUAAAGAGCUCGUAGGCGGCUCAGUAAGUCGGGUGUGAAACCCCCAGGCUCAACCUGGGGACGCCACUCGAUACUGCUGUGGCUAGAGUCCAGUAGGGGAGUGUGGAAUUCCCGGUGUAGCGGUGAAAUGCGCAGAUAUCGGGAGGAACACCAGCGGCGAAGGCGGCACUCUGGGCUGGAACUGACGCUGAGGAGCGAAAGCGUGGGUAGCAAACAGGAUUAGAAACCCUGGUAGUCC